UAUGAAUAAAACCAAAGUGAGGUCGGCCUACAUUCAUGGCUGAGGAAAUUAUGCCGUACCGUCCUGAAUGAUGUUUUUAGAUUUCAUUUUCAGUUGCUUCCAUGUGUGUUUUCCCCCUGUGGGACUGCACCUAAAUGAAAGUCUGAAUUUAUUCAAUCCACCACUUUUUCACUUGUAGUGAAAAGUGCGGUUAAAUCUUAAGUCAACGGACACGUGUCACACUUAUGCAUUGACACAGUCAGCGAUUUUCUCGAAUGCCACUUCUCUCUCCUUUGCUGCAGCUGUGUGACUUUCCUCUCUAAAUAUGGGCUCAUAUUCGCCAUAGGCAGCAUGAGGACCUCUAAUUCCAGUGAGGUAAAGUAGCUUGAUCUAUUUUUCUCAGCAUUUACCAUGGUGAAUCGAAGUACCGGGGCUCCACUGAUGAUGGCUUUUUAUUAAGGACAUACAUGCGCUAAACUCAAGGUGAAUAUACUCGGAGUUGACUGAACUCAUUCAGAUCAGCUGUUCUGUAACCGAAAACCCAGAGUUUCCCGUCUUGAAGUAAAUCAACUCAGAGUUCAGGGUUAGGCUCAGUUUUUUUUAACCUCCUUUCUGGAAUACCCCACUGAUGCAUGUCUACAAAUGGUGCUAUAGUCAUGCAGUUGAGAAGUGAAGGCUAAAAAUACAAAGUGAUCAUGAUGAUUAACCGAUAUUGAGUGACAGGCCACAUAUACUAUUAUAAGAGUCAAGCCGCAGGCCUUUUAAAAUUGGUCUGAGGGCCAGACUUUGGACAAUCCUGAAUCAGGGUUAUAUGGUCCCGAAACUGUCAAUAGCCCACCAAUACUGUAGGGCAGGUGCAGUGAUAACAGCCGUCGUCUCCUGCCCCCACCCCAAUUAAGUGGAUCGGUCCAUCAUGUGAUGUCAGAAGCAGGAAAUACAUAAAACAAGACAGAAAAAUCAGAGUAAUUGGAAUGUAAAUACAAAUAAAAUGGAUAAAGUUGCUAAAAACUGAAAGGUGAGGCAGAAAAAAAGGUAGGUAGAUAGACAGACUUAAUUGUCCACUGCAGUGGGAAUUUGGCUUACUGAUAUGGGAACAGUGUUUUGGAAUAUGUUCAGACUGGUGAAGUGAACGACAAAUUGUGAAAUUGGUCCCAACAGGGCGUUUCAAACCAUCAGUGAACGUCAGGAUGAUUUUGCUCAGCCAUAAAUACACACUCAAUCACUCUGGUAAUCAGACAAGACACCAAGCUGUUUGUGACACAUUAAACUAUGGCAGAGCAACAAGCUAUGAUCUCUCACCUGGGUGAAGAACUGACAACAAAAUGGACCUCUACAGUGAUGGGUUCAUUUAAAGACAACCCUCUUGUGUCAAAUGGGUUUUUUGGCAUCAUCCUUCUGUGCUUUGAGAAAAUCAUUGAGGCUGAGUUUUCAUGCCCCUGCCAAGUUCCUAUGACAGGUCUUCUAUCAGCUGCAUAUUUUAUUUUUCCUGCAGUUGCAGUCUUUCUGCUCACGAUGAAAAUCAAAGGCUUCCACCGUAAGAGGGGUUCAAAGGAGAAUGGAAGAAUUGUGGCUUCCAGCAUUGUCCCUGCCUUAUUUUGGAUCAACAUUGUGCUUUGGGAUGGCCAGAGCUUUGCCUGUGCAAUGACACCCUGUUUAGGCAAUUAUGAAAAACAAGAAGACGAUGACUCUCUGAAAUGGUGCAAACCAGCCAACUCCACGCCAUCAGAAGAGUUGGACUGUAAAAAUAAGGCUAAAAAUAUGUUUAAUCUGUCUAAGGGCAUUGGAAUGGGGCUGUUCAUCGUGCUCGUUUUGGUUGUAGGAAUGUAUCUUCUCAGUCAUGACGUCAAAGGAGAAGGGGAAGCGCCUGAGCCCACAAUUAAACAGGACGUGGAGUUAGCUGACAUCCCUCCCCAAGUCGCAAGUCCAGAAAGAGAGAAAAAAGA